rnacentral:rRNA from 1 species
UACGUAGGGUGCAAGCGUUGUCCGGAAUCAUUGGGCGUAAAGCGCGCGUAGGUGGCUUCGUAAGUCCGUUGUGAAAGUCAAAGGCUCAACCUUUGAAUGCCGAUGGAUACUGCGAAGCUAGAGUACGGAAGAGGCGAGUGGAAUUCCUGGUGUAGCGGUGGAAUGCGCAGAGUAUCAGGAGGAACACCAAUAGCGAAGGCAGCUCGCUGGGACGUUACUGACACUAAGGCGCGAAAGCGUGGGGAGCGAACAGG